CAGCUCCCUCCUCUUCACACUGUCCGAGUGACAGUGUGAACCUGGCUGCUGGCUGCCUGUAGGGGGAGCUGCAGCGGAAGCGCGCAGCUCCUCUCAGGCAGUUCAAGGGGCCAUGAGACAGAGCUACGUGAGGCAGUGUCUGCUGUUUUCGGCUCCCACUGUAGUGUAAGGGUCCUGACUCCGGCGGUGUCAAUUAGGUGAGGGCUGCUGACUGGAGUGUGGAAGCAGUACAUUCUUCAUUGCUGUGCCCUCUCCCAGCGCGCGACUCCAGCAUGGGCGGGACCUGGCUGCUGAAGUCUGACGCCGGCAACUCCCCACAGCCACCUCCGUGUUGACUGACGCUCUGCCCUGCGUUCCUUAAGGGAUCUGCUCUAAGAAUGUCAUCGAUCAUCGAUUUUGUUUUGGGAUGCGCGAUGCGCGCGGAUGAAGGACUGACCACUAUUGAAAGAAAUAUCUUGUCCUUUGUGGAUGUGUUAGAGACAAUAAGGAGAUCUCGUUACCCCCCAAAACAGAAAAGACAAUCAAAUAAGAAAAAGAUGAAACACCACCGCCAGGGAGAUUAGUGUGGGUGUGACCACGCUGGUGUGGGUGACAACAUCAACUGCUGCCUAAUCCUAGUCAGUGGGGGGUUGCAGUUACACUGAGGUCCAUGGUGAGGUCAGCUGUGAUCACGCGGUAAUCCUCUAGGAGAGGCCGGCAGACUGGAGGAAGUGUAGGUACUUACCCUAGGUGUAG